AGAGUUUGAUCAUGGCUCAGGAUGAACGCUAGCGGCAGGCUUAACACAUGCAAGUCGAGGGGUAGAGGAAGCUUGCUUCCUUGAGACCGGCGCACGGGUGCGUAACGCGUAUGCAAUCUACCUUGUACAGGGGGAUAGCCCAGAGAAAUUUGGAUUAAUACCCCAUAGUAUUAUUGAGUGGCAUCACUUAAUUAUUAAAGUUCCAACGGUACAAGAUGAGCAUGCGUCCUAUUAGCUAGUUGGUGUGGUAACGGCAUACCAAGGCUACGAUAGGUAGGGGUCCUGAGAGGGAGAUCCCCCACACUGGUACUGAGACACGGACCAGACUCCUACGGGAGGCAGCAGUGAGGAAUAUUGGACAAUGGGCGCAAGCCUGAUCCAGCCAUGCCGCGUGCAGGAAGACGGUCCUAUGGAUUGUAAACUGCUUUUAUACGGGAAGAAACACUGCUACGUGUAGCAGCUUGACGGUACCGUAAGAAUAAGGAUCGGCUAACUCCGUGCCAGCAGCCGCGGUAAUACGGAGGAUCCAAGCGUUAUCCGGAAUCAUUGGGUUUAAAGGGUCCGUAGGCGGUCUGAUAAGUCAGUGGUGAAAGCCCAUCGCUUAACGAUGGAACGGCCAUUGAUACUGUCAGACUUGAAUUACUGGGAAGUAACUAGAAUAUGUAGUGUAGCGGUGAAAUGCUUAGAUAUUACAUGGAAUACCAAUUGCGAAGGCAGGUUACUACCAGUGGAUUGACGCUGAUGGACGAAAGCGUGGGGAGCGAACAGGAUUAGAUACCCUAGUAGUCC
rnacentral:rRNA from 1 species